rnacentral:tRNA from 1 species
GGGCUGGGCUCAGUGGUAGAGUACUUGCCUAGCAAGUAUGAGGCACUGGGUUCAAUUUUCAGCACCCCA